GACGAACGCUGGCGGCGUGCUUAACACAUGCAAGUCGAACGGAAAGGCCCUGCUUGCAGGGUACUCGAGUGGCGAACGGGUGAGUAACACGUGGGUGCUCUGCCCUGCACUUCGGGAUAAGCCUGGGAAACUGGGUCUAAUCCCGGAUAGGAGCCACUUUUAGCGUGAUGGUUGGAAAGUUCUUUGGGGGUAGGAUGAGCUGGCGGCCUAUCAGCUUGUUGGUGGGGUAAUGGCCUACCAACGCGGCGACGGGUAGCCGCCCUGAGAGAGUGGGAGGCCACAUUGGCACUGAGAGACGGCCCAGACGCCGACGGGAGGCAGAAGGGGGGAAUAUUGAACAAGGCGCGCAAGGCGGAUGCAGCGACGCCGCGUGGGGGAUGACGGCCUUGUGGUUGUAAACUACUUGCGCGAGAGACGAAGCUUUUUGUGACGGUACCUAGAGAAGAAGCACCGGCUAACUACGUG
rnacentral:rRNA from 1 species